rnacentral:rRNA from 1 species
CUCCUACGGGAGGCAGCAGUAAGGAAUAUUGGUCAAUGGACGGAAGUCUGAACCAGCCAUGCCGCGUGCAGGAAGACGGCCCUAUGGGUUGUAAACUGCUUUUGCAGGGGAAUAAACCUCAUUACGUGUAAUGAGCUGAAUGUACUCUGAGAAUAAGGAUCGGCUAACUCCGUGCCAGCAGCCGCGGUAAUACGGAGGAUCCAAGCGUUAUCCGGAUUUAUUGGGUUUAAAGGGUGCGUAGGUGGCCUGUUAAGUCAGGGGUGAAAGACGGUAGCUUAACUAUCGCAGUGCCCUUGAUACUGAUGGGCUUGAAUGAACUAGAGGUAGGCGGAAUGUGACAAGUAGCGGUGAAAUGCAUAGAUAUGUCACAGAACACCAAUUGCGAAGGCAGCUUACUAUGGUUUUAUUGACACUGAGGCACGAAAGCGUGGGGAUCAAACAGGAUUAGAUACCCUGGUAGUCCACGCCCUAAACGAUGAAUACUCGAUGUUGGCGAUAUACGGUCAGCGUCUAAGCGAAAGCGUUAAGU